GAGUUUGAUCAUGGCUCAGGACGAACGCUGGCGGCGUGCCUAACACAUGCAAGUCGAACGGGGCUCUUUGGAUCGAGACUUCGGUCAAGUGAAUCUGAGCUUAGUGGCGGACGGGUGAGUAACGCGUGAGCAACCUGCCUUUCAGAGGGGGACAACAGUUGGAAACGACUGCUAAUACCGCAUAACGUGUCGAGGAGGCAUCUCCUUGACACCAAAGAUUUAUCGCUGAAAGAUGGGGCUCGCGUCUGAUUAGCUAGUUGGUGGGGUAACGGCCUACCAAGGCGACGAUCAGUAGCCGGACUGAGAGGUUGAACGGCCACAUUGGGACUGAGAUACGGCCCAGACUCCUACGGGAGGCAGCAGUGGGGAAUAUUGGGCAAUGGGGGCAACCCUGACCCAGCAACGCCGCGUGAAGGAAGAAGGCUUUCGGGUUGUAAACUUC
rnacentral:rRNA from 1 species